UACGUAGGGUGCAAGCGUUAAUCGGAAUUACUGGGCGUAAAGCGUGCGCAGGCGGUUUGCUAAGACAGGUGUGAAAUCCCCGGGCUUAACCUGGGAACUGCGCUUGUAACUGGCAAGCUAGAGUGUGGCAGAGGGGGGUGGAAUUCCACGUGUAGCAGUGAAAUGCGUAGAUAUGGGGAGGAACACCGGUGGCGAAGGCGGCCACCUGGACGGAUACUGACGCUGAGACGCGAAAGCGUGGGGAGCAAACAGG
rnacentral:rRNA from 1 species